CUUCAAAAACGUGAAAAUAAGAAAUCACUUGUUUCCCUCUCACUUUUUUAAAGGAAAUGUUGCAUCCACCAAAUGAAGGGGCUGGGCGCCAAAUGAAAUUUUAGUUACCCACGGCAAAUUUGUAUAUAAAAACCAAAGAGACUGAGGAAACGAAGGACGGAAGACAAAUCACAAAUCCCUAUCACUCUCCAUUCCGGCGACCCUCUCAUCUCCCGCUACCAUCUUCGUUCUGGCGACCCUCUCCACUUUCUCCGUUUCCCAGCUGCGUUCUCUCUGUUCGUCCCCCUUCCACCGGAACAGUUGAAAAUAUCAUCUAUUGGUCUGUGGAACAACACCUUUUAUGAUACGAGGUUCACGCGAAAUUGAAGAAGCUUUAUUGAAACACUUGGGUGGGAAACGAAAUGAUGGUUUCUUUUCUGUUGGAGAAAUGGGAUGCAUGGUCCACUUUGUCUCUUUAAACUGAUUUGACAGUCAGGGCCAAAACAAGUGAUGUUAAUGUUGGUGAUUUUAGUGCUGGUUCUUAUGCAACAAUAGUUGGAGCGGAGGCUGCAGAGUUGGGUAGAGUACCCACAGUGGACGAGGUCUUUGUAAGAACUCAAACCAGUGCAUAGGAUUCAUCUUGGGUUGAACAAGAUAUAAGUUGCAUCAGGCCUCAGGAGCUGCAGACGGUAAGGGCUCCCAAACCAUCAACACAAUCGACCCUAAGACUCGUUUUAAGCUAUGUGCCCAAUCAUCUAGGGGAAAAACUGUUAUGACUACAUAUUUUGUCCAAAUUGUUAAGUGUCUUAUUUGUUUAUUUUGACAAUUGUAAUAGUGUCAAUUUUUGUUAACACUACACUUUAGUUUGAGUAAGUGAUCUUUUGAUGAUAUGACUCAA